rnacentral:rRNA from 1 species
AGAACGAACGCUGGCGGCAUGCCUAAUACAUGCAAGUCGAACGAAGGCUUCGGCCUUAGUGGCGCACGGGUGCGUAACGCGUGGGAAUCUGCCCCUUGGUUCGGAAUAACAGUUGGAAACGACUGCUAAUACCGGAUGAUGACGAAAGUCCAAAGAUUUAUCGCCAAGGGAUGAGCCCGCGUAGGAUUAGCUAGUUGGUGAGGUAAAGGCUACACCAAGGCGACGAUCCUUAGCUGGUCUGAGAGGAUGAUCAGCCACACUGGGACUGAGACACGGCCAGACUCCGUACGGGAGGCAGCAGUAGGGAAUACGUGACAAGUGGGACGAAAGCUAGAUCCAGCAAUCGCCG